AACGCGAAGAACCUUACCUACUCUUGACAUCCUGCGAAUUUUUUAGAGAUAAGAAAGUGCCGAAAGGAGCGCAGAGACAGGUGCUGCAUGGCUGUCGUCAGCUCGUGUUGUGAGAUGUUGGGUUAAGUCCCGUAACGAGCGCAACCCUUAUCCUUAGUUGCCAGCACGUAAUGGUGGGGACUCUAAGGGGACUGCUGGUGAAGAACCGGAGGAAGGCGGGGACGACGUCAAGUCAUCAUGGCCUUUAUGAGUAGGGCAACACACGUGCUACAAUGGGAAGUACAGAGGGAAGCCAACCUGCGAAGGGGAGCCAAUCUCACAAAACUUCUCGUAGUCCGGAUUGGAGUCUGCAACUCGACUCCAUGAAGUUGGAAUCGCUAGUAAUCGCGAAUCAGAAUGUCGCGGUGAAUACGUUCCCGGGCCUUGUACACACCGCAUAC
rnacentral:rRNA from 1 species